UCAAACCUUCUCUGAACCAACCCUUUCUUUACUUUACAUAUCGCAAAAUAACAUUUUAGCUGUGCUAGCCGCUAAAUGUUUGCUUGCUCUCACUGAGAUAAAAUAUGUCCCAACAAUCUGAAUAACCCUGACUGGUUUCUAUGCUGAUGAUAAGGAGCAGGAUUGUGUGGCGAAUAUAAUUUUAUCAGCUCGUUCCUCAGAAGGGUGUUGUCCACUGUGGGGCCGUUUCAAUCUGUUUCCAGACCAGAGUGAACCACUUUCUGGGUUUACAGUCAAGCUGGCGUGGCUUUGCAGACGUCCAAUUGGCACAGUUUUGCGCACAGGCAUAUGUGGAGGAUUUACCGGCAUUAAGCAGACACUGCUAAACCCUCAGUCAACCCUUGAGUCAGGUCAAAGGUCAGACAGAUAGCAAGCCUCUCACAUCUACCCCUGGAGAAACCUGUUGAGGUGACUUCAUGCAUGCCUGUAUAGAAUAGGCUUUAACCUUCUAAUCCCGUUUAGCCCGAAAGGUGCACAGUGACCACAGGGAGUGUCUGUUAAAUUAGUAGCUGUUCCAUUUGCUGCCGGCAUGUUGUGGCUUAGUAAGCUUUUUAAAACCUCUGACCUCCAGCAGUAAUGCAGGUGCUUGGAGGAUUUUAAUAAAUGCUGAUCAUUUUAAAUACCAGCGGCGUAGGAAGCGGGGGGGACGGGGGGGACAUGUCCCCCCCAAUAUUGAAGCCAGGUGGAUAUGUCCCCCCCAAAAAAUUGUACCGCAAAAUAUUGAAUUUUGACAUUUUUUUAACUAGCGUGCUUUUAUUUUGAAGGCGCAGCAUCGCGUUACGUCACGGUACUCCCCCUCCCCUCUCUGAACUGCUGAGUGAGCACUCAGAAGGGAGGGAAACAGGACACAGAAGUCAGAAACUUGCGAAUGAGGUAAAAUGGUCUGUCGGGAAUGCUGCUAUGAAUAUUGCUUAUUUAUAACGUCUUGUUGUCAGUUCACUUUCAUAUAUAGGAACUGAAUCUUUUUGGUUUAAUCAUCUUAGUCUUGGGAUGAUCACUCAUCCAAUAUUUAACUGCUAACUUUCUCUAGACGUUUGCUACGCUAGCCAAAAUGUCUUUUUUUUAUAUAUAUAUAUCUCAUUUCAGUACAAUGCCACCACCAACUAAAAGGCUGAAACAGCAGCAGGACUUACUCAGCUUUUUUAAAAAGAGUAACGUCAGUGAGCAACAAUGCAGGGACAGCACAAAGGAGACAGGAAAAGGAGAGGAUAGUGCAAACGGGCUAGAGGCAGGAAGUCAGAGUGAGGGAGAGACAGGAGUGGAGCAACAGGUAAGAUAGAGUAACUCAUACGAGUAGAUACUUCAUGAGAGUCCACAAAAAAAGUUGAAAAUUUUAAUCUUUUGCUUGUAGUAAGUGUAGUUCAGGGGCAUUGAGUGACAUUGUAACUUUUCCUUCUAGGGAGUUCAGACUAGGGACACACAGCUGAGAGACUCUGAAGUCAGUGGACAGAGAACAGAGCCAAAUCAGCCACAUCCAAAAUUCAUAGACCCUCAAGCUCUAGCCAACAGAACUUUACAUUUCCAAGGAAAGUGGUACAAGGAAUUUCCCUGGCUACAUUAUGAUGCAGUGAAAAAUGGCAUUUUGUGUUUUUAUUGCAUGGCAAUUUACCAGGACAAACUCACACCAUUUGGUGCAAAAUCCGAACCCGCCUUUAUCACUUCUGGAUUUAAAAAUUGGAAAUUUGUACAUAAAGAUAAACUUGAUUUACUGGACAAGAAGUCAGUUUGCAAGCAAUUUGUGGCUGCAAAUGAAAGGCGGAAAAAACAUUUUGGCUCUUUUGCCUAAGCCAGUGUUUGCCAUCCUUUUAUGUUUCCGGCACAUUUUGGCGAAUUAUAAAUGCAUGGCUGUAAAGUGCAAUUGUUCAGAAGCACAGAGGUGUUGAUCUCUACCUAGGGUUAUGUGGCCUAUAAUCUCUGUGCUAACUGCUUUUCCAACAGUUAAAGCACACUGUAGUCAGUGAGUUAAAAAGCUUGUCUAUUAAAUGUGUAUUUAUUGUUGGUAAAUAUUUCUUCAUUUUUGAUUUGGUUUAAUUAGUCAUACAGUUCGACAAACUGAAUAAGCAUAUUUUGAUUGAUUUUCUUUUCUUCUUUUACUUAAUGUUAAAAGUGUGAAUAAUUUGUUCACUACAUUGUCUGUGAGGGCUCUUUCAUCUCAGAAUUUUGUUUAAUCAAAGAGAUGGUUCUAUGGUCAGUCAACCUAUAUAAAUUCAUUUUUGACCAUUAUUGCAAGUUUGACAAAAUAAAACAUAUCAAACUUUGCACUUGUGUGGCCUACUGAAUUGUUUUUAAUCCAACUGAAAUAUUUGAUUUUCUAGUGUGUAUGCGGACACUAAAUAUGCCAAGGGCUGAAGCCCUUGAAAGACAUCUCCCUUUGCUUAAUAAAAGACUCCAGUCA